GUCUAACACCUUUAUAAACUUAAUUUUUUACUAUUUCACAUACUUUUGGUGCCCGGAAAGCAUUGGGGAAGCUGCAAUAUAAGUUUUUGCUAGGCUUUGACACCUGUGCUGCCGAGGUGGCCGGAAAGCAUGUCGUACGAAAUUAUCCGAACUGGAAAGUUUGAGAAGCGGCUCAGGUAAGGCAAGAAGUGAUGUGAGUGCACGUAAGGUAGGAAGCAGACACAGGCAUCACGUGUACACAGGCACCACACGUACGCACGAGGAUGUGAGGGCGGGAUACUGCCAUGAUGAACACCUGCAUACCUUCCUUAAACAUUCCAUUCACAAACACAGUGUUCCGAUCGAGUGCCUGUGACAUAAAUCUAUUUUACUCUGAUAUGACAUCAAAACACAAUUCAACAACUAUCAUGAUAAAAAUCUUGUGUUAUAUUGAGGUUAGGCACUCAGCUGGAAAAAAAGGGACAAGCACAGCAGAUAAACAGGUAGAAAGGCACGCAUAUAGACAGGUAGACAGACAGACAGGCAAGGAGAUAGACAGGCAUGCAUAUAGACAGAUAGAGACAGACAGACAAGCACCUGAACAAACACAUAAGCCGAUAGACAGACAGAUAGACAGGCAGACGAGCAGACCAACAGGGAAGCAUGUUGUACAAUUAUGGACAAAAGACGAAGUGAAAGAUUGGAAAGGAAAACAGGUAGAGAAUCAAGUAAACAAUCAGACAGGCAAAUAAACAGAAAGACAAGCUGACAUAUGAAGGGAAGACAGGCAGACAGGAAGGAAAACACCGAGAAGAGAUGCAGGAAGGAAGACAAACAGAUAGAUAGACAGAAAGACGGGGAGGUAAACAGAUAAAGAGAGAGACACAUGCAGGAAGGAACGCAGACAUGCCUUAGUCUCUCAUGGUGACGUAGACAAGACGUGACCUGAAAUAACGAAAGCAGCAAGGAGAUGGUGCUUGCCUGCUACGCUUCACUCCUUCAAGGCCACGAGGUUUGUUGACGCGUGCAUUCUCAACCUCGUCUCUCUCAGAACUGUCACACUUAACGCGAAAUAAUUGAGGUCUGGUAUGGCAUCACACUGACUGUUGCUGCACGGAGAGGACAGCACCACACGCUGCAGCACAAACAGCUCUGCUGCAUGGACACAAUGCUUCCCAUCACCCUGGCUCUUCCAUCUCAGGCUCUGGGAAGUUUCAGUGAUGUCCUCAGACAGUUCAUUGUGAUAGGAUGCUACAGAGAGCGAGUGCUGUCACUCCUCAGGUGGUCAGUUGUCACUAGGCUGUUGCUGCCCUUCAUGCAAAGGUACACAACACUGCCACUGGAGAAUACAUACAGGAAAUAUAAACUGGCUUCAGUAAACUAAUGCUACGGCAUUGUAUGCGGGCGGGAAAAGUUCUAAGUAAUGUAAUUGUGCUGAAUCAUAAACAACCACAUAGAAAAAUAAUUCAAUCUAGAAAAAAGUAAAAUCAAAAUGUAAAGAACAUAUACAUAAAGUAAACACUGGUUUCAAAGCCCUAGAACAGCUUUGCUGUCACUGGGCAACAUUUACAAAACUGUUCUCAGUACAGGAAUGGACUAAGGGGUGUUGACACAAAUGAUGCCCAAGAAUAUAACUUCCUUCGAAUAACAUUCAAGUUUAAAAAUGAAGGAGUAACAAGCUUGCUGAAGGUGGUGUUUGAAGGAAUGCAACACUCCCUGGUGAUGUGGACUGCCUGUACAUAUCAACAAUAUCUCCUACACCACAUGCUUCACCUUCAGUGUGUGAAAACAAUCAUCAUAAAGGGAAAUGUCCAAUACAGACAAAUGUGUAUAUGAUAAGUAUUGAAAUACUGCACAUAUCUGUACAGAAUAUAAUGCCAUCUGCCACUGUGUAAUGAUAUAUGUAUGUAUGUACAUUUAAAUAUAUAUAUAUAUUUCUUAUAAUAAAUUCUCAACCACAAAUAGUACUUAAUGAUGCUGUUGAUGACAGCGUCAUGAAAGAAAGCUAUGACAGCAGUAGAGUUUAAGAAAAGGUAAAAGGAGGUAACAUUACAAACAGUGCUCAACAGAAAAACAAUUUUGCUGCAGUGUUACUGGAACCUGAGGCCUUUAAGCAACACCAAAGAGGUUGUGCCCACCAACUGGCCUUGAAAAUUGUUGGUGCACAGAGGGAGGGAUUGCAAUCACUUGGGGAUUACUUGCAAACUUGGUUAUCCAUAGGAUGAUGGGUGGGGUUGGGAGGCUCAAGUAAUCAGGGUAUUCAAAAUGUGGUUCCAAUACUGCCCUUGAGAAUAGGGCUUGGGAUCUCCUUUUAAAGACACCUCAAUUUGCUUCAUAGAAACUGAAGGGCCAGCAAACUUUUCUGCACUUUUUUUCCUGAUAAUGAUCCAUUACUUUAUGAUUUGACCCUCACUUUGCCUUCCCUUGGACACAUGCGUCCCUUGUGAUACAACAACCCUGUGGAUGCCCCAGCUUGCAGCUACAGUUGGACAUGUUCAGAAUGUGUUUACAUACAAUUAUGGUGCAAAAAUUUAAAGAACAACUCUGGAAUUUCACACAACAGUUCAUUCACAGUGGCUGAAGAUGUGUGGAUAUGGAAAGCUGGUUGGAAAUUCUUAAUAAAGCACAAGAAUUUAUGUGACUCAGCCUGACUUUGUCUGGAUAGAUGAUAGGCAUCCAACACCCAUGCUGGCCUCUGUCCACCACCACCACCUUCACCACUCCAAGGGAAAGGCUGAUGGACUGUGAUUCUGUGCUUGCCGAGGGAAAACUGUGAUGGCACAAACUGCACUAAGUAGUAAUAAUGUUAAAAGUUACUUAUCAACCACAUCAACUACUGAAGUAUGCCUUCCUCCUCUCCCACUCCUCAAACCUGAUUUACAUAGCACGUCUCCCCAUUCCUCACACCAGACUUAAAAAACAUAGCAUUCCUCAGAAAGGCAAGUUCAAGUUAAUACUUAAGUCUUAUAACAUACUCUAUGGCAAAAUCCAAGAUAUAAAUUCCAAUGACAGGUACAUAUAUUUCGUGCAAUGUUAAUCUGUAGUAGUCAAAGAAGAGUAACCUUUUGGCUAUUCCACACUCCCUCUUGAUAUAAAGCAUUGCUAAUGGAGAAUAGUUUACUGCAGUUAGAAAUAUUCCUUUGUCAAUAACAUCCAUGAGUUCACUGUGAGAUAAAAAUCAAUAACAGGUAAGUAAUAUUUGGAAUUGGAAAGCGUGAUUCACACCAUAACUUUAUAACAAGUCAAACAAACCCGCUGGUGGAUUCACGUGUCCUGCCUCAAUACACAGUACUGAGGGGAGCACACUGCCUACUGCACCAGCCUGUCCUGCAUGGAGCAUGUGGCAUGGCCAACACACCUCACUGAUACAACCAGACACCCAUAAUGCCAUGCCAAAACCAUCGUUCACACACACACACACACACACACACACACACACACACACACACACACACACACACAAGCACACACACG